UAAACAUGCUGUUACAACCUCGUGGAGGCUAAGUUCAGCUCAUGACUACAAGGCAAUUUUCAGGAGGCCAAAGUGUUUGCUGCAGGCUUCCUACAUGUCAAGCAUUUUGUUAGGAUGAUUGCUCAACAAACUAAGAAGUCAGUGGUCUUUCUUGUCGACCCACCAGAAGCAAUGAUACCUCAGUCACAAUGAACACAAUAAGGGGCCAGCUCCUGGUUUCUCAACACCGUCCUCUGCUGAAAGGAAGGGAACUUCGUUGGAGAACGAGAGGAUCCUAGGCUUGGAGAAAGGGAAGCCUGGAUUGUAUUACCAUGCUAAGGAGAAAUGGCUGAGAAUUACGGGAAGUGUAGAAGCACUAAGAACUCAUCUGAAUGGGCUUGACCCACCAUGUCUGGAACAAUUGGAAUAUUAAAAAAAAAAAAGCAGACUGGCAAUGAAGUAGCAUCUGCAGACUAAAAUAGGGUUCGUCACUGAAAUGCAUAUAUAAACAAAUACAAAAAAAGAAAAGCCCUUUAUUUCAGUAGUUCGCCAACUAAUCAGAGGAGAAGGGGAUGAUGGAGAUGGAAAACCAUUUGGCAGCUGUCACGCUGGCAGUUAGCUCCAGCAGGAGACAUCAACAGAAACCAAGAUUGGCAAUGUCUGGUCACGAGAAGACACCAGACAGAUCCAGAAGUGUCCAGCACAACACAAGACCUACAAAAGAGUUGAAGAAGCCGAGUGUGGUGGCACAUGCCUGUAACCUCAGUGCUUGUAAAGAUGAGGCAAGAGCAUUUCCAGGGCAGCCUAGAUUUCACAACAAGAGUACACAGCAACUAUUCCAGAUUGAAGAAAACUAAAGAGACACAAGAACUAGGCAACAUGUACUUCUGGUCCAGAAAGAAAGAGGGGGCAUUGUCAACACAGUCUGAAAAUGUGCACACAGUCAGUGGAUUGGACGGUGGUGACACAUGGCAGUUCAUUCCCUGACCUGGUGUAUGGUGGGUAGGAAGAUUAUAUAGUUCAAGAUGUGCAAAGAGUAAAUAACACUUUGACAAGGUCCGAGAACCCAGGUUCAUCACUUCACAUAACAAAAUAUAUAAUUACAUGCAGAUACUCCUUCAUUUAUGAUGUGGUUACAGUCUAGUAAACUCAUCGUAAGUUGAAAACAUUAGAAGCUGAGAAUGCACUUCAUCCAACAAGCCUACCAAACACCACACUUAGCAGCCGAGCACUCCAGAGCGUUAAUUGUUCCCCUUGACAUGAAGUGGCCAUGUGAGAGUUAGAACUCACUGCUGUGGCCCAGCACCCUGAGACAGUGCUGUACUGCAUAGCGCUUGCUCAGGACAAGAUGAAAAUUCUAAAUUCUAACUGAAUUUGUAUGACUUUUGAAAAGCCAUAACAUUGAAAAUGUUUAAGUCAAAUCACAAGUUGGAGAAGGGUAUCUGUACCAAACACUCACUUUGCCAUACCAGGGAGCUACCCUGCAACCUUGUUCUCUACUUGCUAUUAGGUCUAUCUUUAAGAAUUAAUGUCCUUCCUGGUCCAAACUUCAGCGGCUCUUUGUUCAUUGGGGAUGAAGAUUCUAUUCUAUCUUGAAGCAUUAGAUAGGAGGUUUGUCUGUUUGUUUGUUUGUUUGUAUUUUACA